ACCGUUCGAGUUCCAAAAUGUUUGAAAACCGAGGCGCAAAAGGUGGCCUGCAAAUUUAAUGGAGAAAAUUGAAAACAACUCAGCGGAAGCCGUUUGACUUCCGAGGCACAUUCGAAAAUGGAAGCAUUUACUUCUGGGUUUUUGGUGUUCAAGAAAAGAAACGUUUGACUUCUGAGACGUUUGACAACCAAGGUACCACUGCACUGAUAGGGCAGGGUUUGCUUGCCUUACUCCAUAUGUGCUGUUACAAGUACCACAUAACACUCAUUCCACGUUUGUAAUAAGAAACCAUUAUUUCAGUGUGGCAGCACCUACUCUUUGGAACUCCCUGCCUAUUGACACCAGGCAGGUACCUUCACUGUACAGUUUUUGGGAUCCACUGAAAAGGUUUUUCAGUAGGAAAGUCUAUCUAGACAUGCAGAAGCUGAGAUUAAAACACUCGUCUUUUUAGCCUAUUGUCGACUUCAAUUAUCCUUUGAAUGUUUUCAACUCCAACUCCCAUCAGCCCCAGCCAACACGGCGAGCGGUCAUGCAUGAUGGGAAUUGUAGUCCAGCAAACAUCUGAAGGGCCACGGAGGUUCCCCACAUUUGAUCUAGGCAUUUUAUGAACAUAACACACUUGGUUGCAUUACUCAUGACACAAAGGGGGCUUUCUCGCUGCCCUGUAUGUGGAAUGCCUCCUUCAGAAAGCCUCUUUUUGAUGCUAACACUUAUUAAGAAAGCUGAACCUUCCCUUGCCCUUGGAUUUUUCUCUCAGAAGUGAACCACCCUUGAGGGGGAAAAUUCUGCAUCCACAGAGUAUGAAGAAAUAAGAUGGAGAAAUGGUUUAGAUCCCUUCAACCAUGUGUGCCAUUUGAUGGGGAAAAAACCACAAACACCAGAUCUCAUUAUGAUGCAGAUAGGAGGUGAUUAUGUUUUAAGAACAUAAGAAGAGCCUGCUGUUUCAGGCCAGUGCUCAUCUAGUCCAGCAUGCUCACAGUGACCAGCCCGAUGCCGAUGGGAAGCCUAAAAGCGGGACCUGAACACAACAGCCCUCUUCUCAUGUGCAAUUCUGAGCAUUCUGCCUCCGACAGUUGCAGGUAGAGCAUAGCCACCAUAACUAGAGAGAUAUCUUGCAUCUGCUGCCAGUUUCAUUGAAACUUCAUGUCUCCCUCUGUCUCCCUGGAGUUCUAGAAAAAGAAAUGCCAGAAAUUUAUCAAACUGAAUUCAAGAAUGGAAAAAUGAGAAACUGAAAGAGCUACUCUCAGCCCCCCCCUCCCAAGACCUGGCUCACAGAGCUUGCAAAAGUUGGUCCCUUUUAUUGGACAUAUGCUUCCUCCUGUUUCUAAGUAUGUUGGGCCUUGGCGAGAAAUGGCUUCUCUUUGAAAUGGCUCUGCUAUUUUUAACAUAGUUAUUCAUCCCCAUCAGCAUUUUGGAUGGAAGGAGACUGAACAAUAGCAGCCGCCACAAAUAUAAGAUAGGGUGUGGAGGGUGAAAUCCAGGAGUGGGAGGCAGGCAGGCAUGUUGAUCAUGGAGAAGAGCUUUACCCAUUUCCUGUAAUUUGUCUUGACAGGUCAAUUCUAUUGUUGCUGAGCGGGGGGAAAUGUGAUUAUGAGAGACGCGUUUGCUGCUGUUGUGAUUCCCACCCCCCCGACCCCCUGAUUAGGCUUCUGUUUAAUGUGGCAAAUAAAUAAAUAAAUGAAGUGCAGAACAUAUCUAUUCUCAAGAGCCAGCUCCUUGGGAAUCCUGCCCUAACCAGGAAAAUGCUAUAAAAAAAUCCUUCUAGUAGCACCUUAAAAGGUAAAGGGACCCCUGA